AAGAGAGGCGCACAACAACCGGAUGCGGCUAUAAAAGCCUGACAGUUCACUGCUUCGCAACAGACGCCACCUGCUGCCGAGUUAACACGUCACGUGCCAGAGCCAAGCCUUCAGCCAAAUAGUUGCAAACGCUGCUUCUGGUGUAUCAACAUGGAAAGGAAGUCGAUGAGUUGUUUCAUCUUGGCCGUGCUGCUGGUUGCUGUUGUACUGCCUUCAACUGCGGUGGCAGAGCAGUGCGAACCAAACGCUUGCGCAUACACCUUAUGCCAGACGAACACUAGGUGCAUUUCCUAUAAGGACAACGGAGGGUGCAAAGCGAAGUGUGUCCCUCUAACAAAUUGUAACAGCAACUGAAAGUCAUCCUAAGAAUAAAAGCAAAGAGAAAUAAAAUGAAAAUAAUACAAAUCUUCACAAAUUAA
rnacentral:lncRNA from 1 species